CUCUCCGGGCCCACCACAAAGAGCUUGAAGAACGUUACCCAUGCGAACGCGGUGCCCGCCUCGCCGAUGCGAUACAGGUCCAAAUACGAGCUGCGAAGUAUCAGUUUGGAGGGCAACAAGGUGCUACCAUGGACCGCGAGUUUUUCGGGAAAAGAAGAUCUUAUAGAUGCUCCUGAGCAUCGACAUCUGGCUAGUAACUGUGUUUCAGUACUGAUAAGAAGUGUCAGCGCGUAGCUCAUAUGAGCUAGAAAUAUUAAAUUUAUGCAGAAAAUUUAUGUUAUUCAACGCCAAAAUGCGUUGCAGACCAAAUAGGCUUAUCUUUAUCUUUAUUUUUAAAAUGUUAGAUACUGAAAUGAGAUUAUACAGCGUUAGACGGCCAUAAUUUGCUUACAUAAAGAAUUUAUGUAUACAGUUUUAUAAAAAAAAUAUUUUUCCGUAAAUUUAGAGGAAAAAAUAUCGAGAAAAUACUAAUAUCAAUUUAACACUAUUUUAUCAAAACUCAUACAUAUAUUGUGCUCUUUAAAUGACUAAAACAAUAUUUUGCUGAAAUUUAAGAUUAUCAAAUUUUUUAAAGAAAGUUUUAAAUUAUAUAUAUAUAUAUGAACAAGAUUAUCAUUGUUUCAUAUACAAACAUAUAUAUAUAUAUUUUUUUUUAUACAGGUAACAAUUUUUUCUACAUGUUUAUCAGUGUUAAUGUAUGAACCCAAGCAGAACAAUACGAUAACAUCAAAAUGAUAGUCACAUAAAUCGUGACUAAUCAAAAAGUGACUUUUAAUACUUAUUUUGAAAUCAUUUUGACAUUUUAAUGUCACAAUGACUUUUUAUUUUGCUUGGGAAUAUUACAAAGGAUUGGUUAUUUUUAUCCCUGGCUACGCUGCUUUUAUUAAUUAUCAUCAAAUAAUAAUAACAAUACAAUGCGCGCAAUUAAAAUGAAUAUUAAUAAUUAUAUAUACAGUAUAAAAUAAAGCAAAACUUCUCCCCUCGAAGAAUGAUAUACAUAGAAAUAAAAAAUUUACUUUAUAUUAAAUAAUAAAAUAAGUACAAAUUGGACAUAAUAACAAAAGUUUUUUUUUUUAAACAGAAAAAAACAUAAUCAAGGGAAAAAUAAGUUGUUGCUCUAAUAAACCUUAUCUCUGAAUUAUUCAAGAGUAAAAAAGAGCUUACAGGCAGAGAAAGACUUCGAAGAAUAAGAAGCUAAAAGUUUCAGUCUUAAUCCCAGGAACUGGUUAGCCUGAUACGGUUGACUAUCCGGCGUGGGUUCGCGGAAGCGUGCGCAUCGUAUAAUAGUCACUUCAGUGAAAUCAAUUUUGUGGGUGCUUCACCUUGAGUUGUCUUGUAUUUGGAACAGAUACUACCGCGACUUGGAAGUUUAAUGGCUCUGAGAUUAAAGCAUUAAAGGCACGAAGCCACAAGCGAACCAAUCAAUCCGGUAUAAAACCGAACAGUCGUGGUCCUCGAAAUUGGUUUACCGCAACCGCCGCUGUCGCUCGCUGAUAUUGAUUGAUGAGGAAGAGGGUUUUCGAUCCCCCGCGACCGCGAUACACAAGUCCGCUUCCGCUUAAUUAUUUAAUCGCAGAGACGAGACAAAUCUCCGAGCCUUCCGCCCCGGAAUUGCAAAUCGCCAAUGAAUUCUUAAUCAUCAAAGUUACGUUAAACAUUAAAAUCACUGCUUGUUUUAGAAACGUUGAACCAAUUGCAACUUUCAUCAACUUUUUUCCCUUGCUGUUAAAACAAAUUUUUUUUUUAUUGAUAGCAUUUUUUAUCGCGUUCUCCUUGGUUACUUAAAACUUUAUAAUCACGAAGAUAAUAUUAGCUGUAUUAUAUAACUGGGAAAUAAAGCUUUCAUAUUAACUGACAGGACACUUCCGUCGGAUCUUUGAAUUUUACUUUGAUUACUUCUGUUUUUAUUUAAUUACUUGCAUAUGCACUUAAACGUAAUCGAUACGAUGUUAAUAAGGGUUCGCGGAAUAUUCGAAUGGCGUACGUUUAAAAGGGUAUCGAUCAUAAUAUUAUUAUUUUGAUAAGAAAUUCUUCCGAUUUAUUUUCUCUCAAAACAGCGUAAAUUACCAGUGACUAAAAUUUGCGUAUACGUUCGACAGAUAAUUUUCGCAAUUGCCAAUAACGUAUUCACAAUUUCAUCAUUUUAUUAUGAUUUCAUUAUUUUCCUAAGAAAAAGGACGCGGUAUCGUUCUACAUCUCUAGGACUUUGCUCGACCUUCUCAAGUAGCAGUCGGUUAUUUUUAUUCCCAAAACAAACAUUCGUACGAUAAUACUGACAUUUGACAAACAACGUCGGACAAUGAUAAACAAUGUGCCAAAAGGAAUUCGGCGGAAACUUUUAAUUAGCGAGCGUUCGAGCAAGUGAUGACUUUGUAACCUAAUUAGUUGCGUAAUCCCGAUCGAUGGGUAUCGAAUGGAGCGUUAACCGUGCUUCUUAAUUGAGCCAAAGUCACCCGAUCGUGCGAAUGCCAUUAGCGCGGGAUAAAGCGCCGACCGCGAUAAUCGGCAAUGAGCGGCGCGGAUUGCGGUGUGCAAAAUCCAGGGCGGAUGCGGAUGCUCUUUAAUCUUCCGGGCGAUGACGUGCGUAAAUCUGCGAUACAACGUGCAUUAAAUGAUUACGAGUGCAGUACUCUCAUAACGCCCCGUACGAUUUACGAGCGGCCGGUUGAAAAUAAUUUGAAGAUGUCUUACGAUUUUACCGAGAGAGGGAGAGAGAGAGAGAGAGAGAGAGAGAGAGAGAGAGAAAGAGAGAGAAUAAUGUGCGGCAUCGGGCAAAUUAUUCUUGGCGUAUCAUUCGACCGCACGCGGCCGGGCACGUGCCAGAUACGAUGUGCUGUAAAGAUAUACCAAAACGAUAGACCCCUUCCCUAGGGAUCCACCCCAUUAUUUCUGAUCAAUUUGCGAAGUUAACGUUCCAAGACUGUCGCGUUAUCGUUCGGGCCCACACGCGGGUACGUGCGGCGCUCGCCCGUUCGACACCAGCUCCGACAUCGAUUUUUAAUAAGCCAGCUACAGGCGCAUUAAUUAGCCUCCCUCGGCGACCGGAGCGUGCCCGAAUUAAUUCCGCCGUCGGAACGUUUUCCGUAAUGCAAUCGUGCGACGAUGUCGCCCUUUCGAUCGUUACGUUUAAUAUGCAUACGUAAUCCUCGACUUAGCACCCAAGUGGAAGGAAAGAUAGCAGUUAAUAGAGACGAAAGAAAGGGGGGAAAAAACUGCGUGACGCUGUACCUUGAGUGCCUUGAGAAGAGGAUGAGGUGUCCAAUGUCAAAUAUCAAUUUUCGAAUGUCAGGAAAACGUUUAGCGUGAUCUCCACGUUGACGAAUAGCGAGAUAUUAUACGGAAUCAAAAGAAGCGCGAAUUUUGUUAUUAAACACCGAUAAAUAUUCAACAGCGACACGGCAUUCGUUACUGCGGUUCCCGUAAUUAGCUAUAAUUUAUAAUUAACGUUUUAUGAUUCAUGUUUAUUCAAUUGCGCCUGGAUGUGCUACAAUUUAGAAUAUUACAUUGCGAAAUCACAGCGGCAAGACACCCCCCCCCCCCCGUUUCAAAUUUUACUACUGCUCUUUGCUAUUUCUAGCAAAUUCUAUUAUUACUUUCGACUAUUGUGUUACUACACACACAGAGAUUGUAUCGUACUUGAAUCGUUCGAAAUUUAAUUGCUUUAUCCGGCAACGAAGCGUUCAAGCGAGACACGGCUCUUCUUUAUGAUCCACUUCAUUUCUCCGCGGGGAUAAUGAGAUUAACCCUCCCUGCAAAGACGCGUGAGCUACCGAAAGCAGGUAUGUUUCGCCAUGAAAGGUUCCUCCUGGCGUCACAAUGUUAUAAUGUCAACGGGGAGACGUGCUCCCUUCGAGCGCUUAUCAUAUGUUUGCGAUAAUCCAUGCGUGAUAUCGUGAAAUAU